rnacentral:rRNA from 1 species
ACUGAACCCAUAGGCGUUGAAAAGCCCCGGGAUGACUUGUGGAUAGGGGUGAAAGGCCAAUCAAACUUCGUGAUAGCUGGUUCUCUCCGAAAUAUAUUUAGGUAUAGCGUUGUGUCGUAAUAUAAGGGGGUAGAGCACUGAAUGGGCUAGGGCAUACACCAAUGUACCAAACCCUAUCAAACUCCGAAUACCUUAUAUGUAAUCACAGCAGUCAGGCGGCGAGUGAUAAAAUCCGUCGUCAAGAGGGAAACAACCCAGACUACCAGCUAAGGUCCCUAAAUCUUACUUAAGUGGAAAACGAUGUGAAGUUACUUAAACAACCAGGAGGUUGGCUUAGAAGCAGCCAUCCUUUAAAGAAAGCGUAAUAGCUCACUGGUCUAGUGAUUUUGCGCGGAAAAUAUAACGGGGCUAAAGUAAGUACCGAAGCUGUAGACUUGCACACAACUUAGAUUAUUUAAGUUUAGAAUAAGUAGUUUAAGUUGUGUGCAAGUGGUAGGAGAGCGUUCUAUUUGCGUCGAAGGUAUACCGGUAAGGAGUGCUGGAGCGAAUAGAAGUGAGCAUGCAGGCAUGAGUAGCGAUAAUUAAUGUGAGAAUCAUUAACGCCGUAAACCCAAGGUUUCCUACGCGAUGCUCGUCAUCGUAGGGUUAGUCGGGUCCUAAGUCGAGUCCGAAAGGGGUAGACGAUGGCAAAUUGGUUAAUAUUCCAAUACCAACAUUAGUGUGCGAUGGAAGGACGCUUAGGGCUAAGGGGGCUAGCGGAUGGAAGUGCUAGUCUAAGGUCGUAGGAGGUUAUACAGGCAAAUCCGUAUAACAAUACUCCGAGAACUGAAAGGCUUUUUGAAGUCUUCGGAUGGAUAGAAGAACCCCUGAUGCCGUCGAGCCAAGAAAAGUUUCUAAGUUUAGCUAAUGUUGCCCGUACCGUAAACCGACACAGGUGGGUGGGAUGAGUAUUCUAAGGCGCGUGGAAGAACUCUCUUUAAGGAACUCUGCAAAAUAGCACCGUAUCUUCGGUAUAAGGUGUGGUUAGCUUUGUAUUAGGAUUUACUCCGAAAGCAAGGAAACUUACAACAAAGAGUCCCUCCCGACUGUUUACCAAAAACACAGCACUCUGCUAACUCGUAAGAGGAUGUAUAGGGUGUGACGCCUGCCCGGUGCUCGAAGGUUAAUUGAUGGGGUUAGCAUUAGCGAAGCUCUUGAUCGAAGCCCGAGUAAACGGCGGCCGUAACUAUAACGGUCCUAAGGUAGCGAAAUUCCUUGUCGGUUAAAUACCGACCUGCAUGAAUGGCGUAACGAGAUGGGAGCUGUCUCAAAGAGGGAUCCAGUGAAAUUGUAGUGGAGGUGAAAAUUCCUCCUACCCGCGGCAAGACGGAAAGACCCCGUGGACCUUUACUACAGCUUGACACUGCUACUUGGAUAAGAAUGUGCAGGAUAGGUGGGAGGCUUUGAGUAUAUGACGCCAGUUGUAUAUGAGCCAUUGUUGAGAUACCACUCUUUCUUAUUUGGGUAGCUAACCAGCUUGAGUUAUCCUCAAGUGGGACAAUGUCUGGUGGGUAGUUUGACUGGGGCGGUCGCCUCCCAAAUAAUAACGGAGGCUUACAAAGGUUGGCUCAGAACGGUUGGAAAUCGUUCGUAGAGUAUAAAGGUAUAAGCCAGCUUAACUGCAAGACAUACAAGUCAAGCAGAGACGAAAGUCGGUCUUAGUGAUCCGGUGGUUCUGUGUGGAAGGGCCAUCGCUCAAAGGAUAAAAGGUACCCCGGGGAUAACAGGCUGAUCUCCCCCAAGAGCUCACAUCGACGGGGAGGUUUGGCACCUCGAUGUCGGCUCAUCGCAUCCUGGGGCUGGAGCAGGUCCCAAGGGUAUGGCUGUUCGCCAUUUAAAGCGGUACGCGAGCUGGGUUCAGAACGUCGUGAGACAGUUCGGUCCCUAUCUGCCGUGGGCGUAAGAAGAUUGAAGAGAUUUGACCCUAGUACGAGAGGACCGGGUUGAACAAACCACUGGUGUAGCUGUUGUUCUGCCAAGAGCAUCGCAGCGUAGCUAAGUUUGGAAAGGAUAAACGCUGAAAGCAUCUAAGCGUGAAGCCAACUCUAAGAUGAAUCUUCUCUAAGCUCUCUAGAAGACUACUAGUUUGAUAGGCUGGGUGUGUAAUGGAUGAAAGUCCUUUAGCUGACCAGUACUAAUAGAGCGUUUGGCUUAUCUUUAAUAAAGCAU